GCUGUAAUCCGCUAACAACCCUCGGAGGCCGGGGGCGGAACUCUCCGCGCGGAUCACUUUCAGUUGCGCGGAUCGAUUUCUAGUAAAUCCACCGUAAAACAAAAUCUACAGGAUGUCGGACGAGGGUAAACUGUUCAUCGGGGGCCUGAGCUUCGAGACGAACGAGAACUCUCUGGCCGCGGCCUUCGGCAAAUAUGGAACCAUCGAAAAAGUGGAUGUGAUCAGAGACAAAGAAACGGGAAAAUCUCGCUGUUUUGGCUUCGUGAAAUACGACAACUCAGAAGAUGCCAAAGACGCACAGGACGGCAUGAACGGCAAGACUCUAGAUGGACGGUCAAUUCGUGUGGAUGAAGCAGGAAACGGUGGACGCUCCAGGGGAGGUUUUGGAUCCGGUGGCCCAAGAGGACAGCGAGGAGGAGGAUUUGGCGGGCGUGGGCGAGGUGGUGGUGGUGGUGGUGGAUAUAAUGGCGACCGGAGCUAUGGUGACAGGAGUUACGGCGAAAGAAGCUUCCACUCUGAAGGGAGGUUUUCUGGCAACCAGUACAGGAAUAGCGGCGGCGGCGGAGGAGGCGGCGGCGGAUACUCAAGCUACAGAGACAAUAGGGGUCAGGGUGGAUACGCCGGCCGCGGUACAUCCUACCGUGAUGGAUAUGACGGCUACGCUGCAAACGAGUAAACAUCUCCCUGAUUCAAGAUCAUCACUUGGCUGGCUGUAUUUCAAAGAUGCGCUCCUCAAGAAAAAUGUCCAUGUGUUAUUGCUGACCUUAGUUUUGUAGUUCUGUCGUCGUAGCGCAAGCAUCUUUUAAAAAAAUAAUUGUAGCCAUGAGUUUUGGUCAUUCCUUAACGAACCAUGUUACAAUUUACAGUUCCAGACUCGCCUUGCUUGAUUGGGCAUCUCUAUUCCUCAAAGGUCAUUAGUUAGACUAAAAGGCAUCCGUGUCAUCUGAUUCGUACUGCAAGUCCCUUUUUGAGGACCGAACUGCUCUCCGCAUGGCCACUACCAUCGCUGUAGACUUUAUCCAGCACGUUAAGUGUUUCUUGAUUUUGAAUCCUUUUAGUAUUUUAAUUUUUUUUAAAUAAUAUAUAUAUAUAUUUAAAUAUCCGAUGGGCUUGUUGUUCUUAAAUUAAAUUAUUUCCCCGCUCAGUCUCAGUGGCUGUUCUACCUCUUGCCAGGUUUUAAAGUGAGGAGAGGAAUCCGAAUUACUCGUAGACUAACUUUGAGGAUUUUGUGCUAAAUUCCUUUACUAUAUAUAAUAACAACAAUCUAAGUCUAGCUGAGGCUCCUGUGUUUAAAGAGUGAAUUCCUUUCAGACUGGUGAACUACACAACCGAAGUGUCCGGCUGUCAUGAAGUUGCAAAAUGCAGCAUGCUACAGUCUGUCCAAGAGGUCAGCCACAGCAAAAACCGACAAGUCCUUGGAGAGUGAAGUGUUGCGCCUUCCAACAAGUGCUCAUCAGAGAGGAAAGCUGCUCUCUUGCCUAGGUCAAAUGUGGAGAAAGUAGGCCAAUGCACGUGAGGUAAAGAUCUACUUUUGCUUUGCUCACAUCCUUCAACCUCAGUUCUCAUUGUUUCCAUGAAUACCUUCAAGUUAGUCGUUGUUUAUAGUCCUCUGCUUCAGAUGUCGCCCUCAACAUGCCAUGGCCUCUUCCCCGAUUGGAAAAGUUCAUUGAGAAAAAAGUUUCAAAGAAGCUCUUCUGGAUUAUAGUGCUCAUCCUCCUGAGUCCACCAAAAAACCGUGGCCUCUACGUCAUCGGUAGUGUUGUGCUCAGUCCACUUGUGCUCACUGCAUUAGUCCUCAGAUUUGCUCUAGUAAUGCCCCCGCAUCAGUCCUAAUUGACGUCUAAGGUGUCUAGACUGUAUUCAGUUUGUUGUUCCCUUACAUAUGAAUAAGUGGUGAGUUUCAGACUAAUAGGGUUGCAUGCUUAUUGUGAUCUGACUUGUGUUAAUUGCCAGACCUAAUCCAUCUCUUGAUCUUUUUCUUUAGAGUGAACUGGCUGUCAGUGGAACCCCUCACAGCUGAAGUAUCUGGCUUUAGAUGGCAGUGACCGAUGCGGAUUCAGUGACCGAUGCAGACUCAGUUCUCAGGUCCAGUGUGCAACAGUGCUGGCGCAGCUGUAAGCAGUGGCGAUGUGGGAUGAGCCUGCCACGUAAAAGGUCCUUUUGGGAAUAUCUGUUGGCUUGCCAGACGGAUGCAUUUCUCAAAUACGAAAUGGGCGAUAUCAAAGCGAUGUACAACCUCUUGUCUGAUACAACACUAUUGUGACUUUUAAUAAGUCGCUUUACUAUUACAGUAUUCUGCUGUUUGAACGUUUUGUUUUUACAAUUUCAAAAUAAAAUUGUGGCACAAACUA